CCUACGGGAGGCAGCAGUGGGGAAUAUUGGACAAUGGGGGCAACCCUGAUCCAGCCAUGCCGCGUGUGUGAAGAAGGCCCUCGGGUUGUAAAGCACUUUCAGUGAGGAAGAACGCCUGGUGGUUAAUACCCAUCAGGAAAGACAUCACUCACAGAAGAAGCACCGGCUAACUCCGUGCCAGCAGCCGCGGUAAUACGGAGGGUGCGAGCGUUAAUCGGAAUUACUGGGCGUAAAGCGCGCGUAGGUGGCUUGAUAAGCCGGUUGUGAAAGCCCCGGGCUCAACCUGGGAACGGCAUCCGGAACUGUCAAGCUAGAGUGCAGGAGAGGAAGGUAGAAUUCCUGGUGUAGCGGUGAAAUGCGUAGAGAUCGGGAGGAAUACCAGUGGCGAAGGCGGCCUUCUGGACUGACACUGACACUGAGGUGCGAAAGCGUGGGUAGCAAACAGGAUUAGAUACCCCAGUAGUC
rnacentral:rRNA from 1 species